rnacentral:lncRNA from 1 species
AGUAAGUGAUAAUAUUUUUUCCAAAUGGCAUGCUCUGCUACUUCUGCUUCUCUACUCUCUAUAAACCCUAGAUCCUUCUUCUCUCCAAAAUUACCUUCUUCUCCUUCCACUCUCUCUUUCCCCACUUCUCCCAAUGCUCUUCCCAAAUCCUUAACCUCCAUUUCCAUCAAUCGCCCCUCUCAUUCUCGUCGCAGCUUCGUUGCCAGGGCCUCUGUAAGUAUUUUCCAUUACCCAUUUUGCCCUUUUCUUAUUUCCUUUUUAAUAAUUUUGGUCCAAUAGUUCUUUUUGGGUCUGUUUGCCAAUUGGUUUUUUGAGAGCAAGGAGGGAAGAUGAAGACUUGAGAGUUAUGGAAUAUACUUGUAAUAAGUUGGCUGUCAAGCCUUCCAUUUCUUUUCUUUCGACCAUAAAAAUCAACUCGCAGCCAGACCAAGUGCCUAGUCAGGGCUACUACACUAAUAGCUCUCCACUCCUUAAAAUUUGGAGCUGAUUUAUCGCUUAUUUAGAUGUUGAAAAUUGGUACAUUAUCUGUGAUGUUGCUCUUCAUAACCACUGAAACUGCAAUAUUGUUUUCGCAAUUUCAGUUUCAGGUCCAAUUAAAAAAAAUUGUCUAGUAAGUGGGUAAGUUUCAUGGUGGUGUGUUUGUGAUUGAACAUGUAUUAUGGGUUGAUGAUGGUCACUGUUUUGAUUAUUGAAUUUGCAGCGUUGUUAAGCUUAUCGGUAAAUAUGGUAGUUGAUGCUACAUUUGUGUAUAAUGCUUUAAUGGUCUGUUUGCGAGUUGGUUUUUGGAGGAUAACAGAGGGAAUGGAAAGCCAUGAGGUUCAUAAAUAUACUUGUGAGAUUACUUUCAAGUUUACCUUUCUUUCCCUUCUAAAAAGAAACUCGUAAACAGAUCCUAAGGGUCUGUUUGCGUGUUGAGUUUUGGAGUGGAUGAAAGGGAAAUGAAAAGUUUCGGAAUUAUGAAAUACACUUGUGAGGUGUCUUUGAAGCCUUCCCCUCCCAUUGCCUCUCCUCCAAAACUCAACUCGCAAGGAUCUCAGUAUUCUUGACCCUUAACCCUUGGGUAUUUUAACUUUUAGCUUUUAGGCAUGAAAGUAUUAUCAUUUCUAGAUUAUCUAAUAGAUUUGCAGUGACAGUCUUCUUUAACCGCUGACAUCUUUUACUGCGCUGAUGAAACCGAAGCCCAAGUGUAAGAGCUUAUAGUUGUUUUAAUUGACUCCUGAAGUAAAAUAUUGUCUCUUCUUAUUUUAAUAGAGUG